CGCACCAUCGUCUAAAUGGUUUUAGGACACAUCCCUUUCACGGAUGCAAUACGAGUUCGACUCUCGUUGGUGUGA
rnacentral:tRNA from 1 species